CCUACGGGUGGCAGCAGUAGGGAAUCUUCCACAAUGGGCGAAAGCCUGAUGGAGCAACGCCGCGUGGGUGAAGAAGGUCUUCGGAUCGCAAAACCCUGUUGUUAGAGAAGAAAGUGCGAGAGAGUAACUGUUCACGUGUCGACGGUAUCUAACCAGAAAGCCACGGCUAACUACGUGCAAGCAGCCGCGGUAAUACGGAGGUGGCAAGCGUUAUCCGGAUUUAUUGGGCGUAAAGGGAACGCAGGCGGUCUUUUAAGUCUGAUGUGAAAGCCUUCGGCUUAACCGGAGUAGUGCAUUGGAAACUGGGAGACUUGCGUGCAGCAGAGGCGAGUGUAACUCCAUGUGUAGCGGUGAAAUGCGUAGAUAUAUGGCAGACCCCCAGUGGCGAACGCGGCUCUCUGGUCUGUAACUGACGCUGAGGUUCGAACGCGUGGGUAGCAAACAGGAUUAGAUACCCGAGUAGUC
rnacentral:rRNA from 1 species